rnacentral:lncRNA from 1 species
GUAAAUUUUGAAGUCCCUGCUGAAAAAUAAGAAAAGUGAGUGUAUUCGCUUUUAUUUCAAACUUCCCCUGUUUCCAUGGCAAUAUCCCAGUGAGGUACCAAGAGGAGAUGCUGGGAUAUGAGGUAUUUAACAGUUCUUUCUCUGAGCAUCGUGAAAGGCAAUGCUGAGAUCCAUGCGUAAAGAAAAGCGAGCUGGGAAUGACAUGGGGACACUGCAGAAUUAUUGCACAGAGGAAGAGAAAAUUCCAACACCCUGUGAAUCCACAGAGGGAAAAGGCAUUGCAGAUGUGUGCUGGAAUUUCCUGGAGACAUCCUGCAUUCUUGCAGCCUCCCUUCUCUGGAAGAAAAGAAACCGAUAUAACCAUGCAAAUGUCCCUGCGCUCUGCCUCCGGCUAUAAGCUUAAGAAUUAAAAGCUUGACAACGCUGAGUUGUAGACAACACCCCUUCAAUACUUUCUGGCUCAGUGGCUCUGUGAAAACCUCUUUGAAGGUGCAGCUCUUCAAAAAAGGCUCUGCAGCAGCACAACCGAAAUGUUUGCUGCUAAAUAUAGAAGUGCACUUGCUCUGAGCGAGGCUGGUUUGCUUCAGGUUCACCUUUGGAGCUGCAUUUAUAGCUACAGUAUGGAUUUUAAGGAGAAAAAGGGAGAGGUAGGAGCAAGAAAGCGAAGAAUUAGACAGUAAGAGUGCCUGUUGAGGGGGGAAAGGCUCUGACUAGUAAAGCUGGGCUGCAAGGCAACAAUUUGAUGUGGCCAUGGAAAUGCAAACACACAAUAAGACAUAUUAGUCAGGAGAGGGGAUUAAUUCACCAUAGCCAGAUGCAAACCCUAUGGUUUUAAACACUGGUGAAACACUGUCUGAAUGCUCUGUGCACAGCUCUCCACACCAAAUUUGAAGGAAUACAUGUUCAGAGCAGAAGGAGUGGAGGAAUAAUAUGAAUUAUUAUGUGGGAAGGCAGGCAGAGGUCAGUGAGAGCUGGG